GCUGGGCAUGGUGGCGCAUGCCUGUAAUCCCAGCUACUCAGGAGGCUGAGGCAGGAGAAUCACUUGAACCCAGGAGGGGGAGAUUGCAGUGAGCUGAGAUCAUGCCACUGUAUUCCCCCCUGGGUAACAGAGAGAGACUGUCUCAA
ensembl:misc_RNA Metazoa_SRP Metazoan signal recognition particle RNA